rnacentral:misc_RNA from 1 species
CGCAACGCCGGUGAUGUAGGCGCCGAGAUUGCCAAAGCCGCGCACGCGCACGCCGAGAAAUGCGCCGUCAGCAGCGAGCGCGAGUUCGCAAUGCACAUCCUGCGCGCGGCCGUGGCUGUCGGACAGAAAGCUUGUCGAGCGUUCGUCGGUCCAUUUCACCGCGCGGCCAAGCUCCCGUGCAGCGUGCAGGAUGCAGAUGUAUUCGGGAUAGUUCGCGUUCUUCAUGCCGAACGAUCCGCCGACAUGGUGAGUCCGCAGAUGGACCUUGUCGUUAGCCACGUUCAGCGUUUUCGCCAGCGACGUGCGGUUGCCGGCG